rnacentral:rRNA from 1 species
GAUGAACGCUGGCGGCGUGCCUAAUACAUGCAAGUCGAGCGAGCGGCGGACGGGUGAGUAAUGUCUGGGAAACUGACUGAUGGAGGGGGAUAACUACUGGAAACGGUAGCUAAUACCGCAUACCAUCAGAUGUGCCCAGAUGUGAUUAGCUAGGAGGUGGGGUAACGGCUCACCUAGGCGACGAUCCAUAGCUGGUCUGAGAGGAUGACCAGCCACACUGUAACUGAGAAACGGUCCAGACUCCUACGGGAGGCAGCAGUGGGGAAUAUUGCACAAUGGGCGCAAGCCGGAUGAAUCAAUGCCGCGUGUAUGAAGAAGGCCUUCGGAGUGUAAAGUACUUUCAGCGUGGAGGCGUUACCCGCAGAAAAAGCACCGGCUAACUCCGUGCCAGCCGCCGCGGUAAUAC